CAUGUGUGACGCGUCUGUCUCCUGGAGCGGCUGGUAUCGUCUCUUCAUUAACAGCACUAGCGCUCAUAUCCCAGACACGUGUGUUGCUCAGUACAGAUGUGGCACUCAUAUCCCACUAUGGAUCCGUGGUGGACACCCAACAGUAACAGAUGGAGUCGUCACUCGAGAUACACUGGCAGCAUUAACACCAGCCCUACAACUGUCACACCAGUGACCAUCUCACCUGACACUGGCAGCAUUAACACCAGCCCUACAACUGUCACACCAGUGACCAUCUCACCUGGUAAUGUAACACACUGUGUCUCUAUUGGCUUAUUUCCUGAAUGUUUUCUAAUGUAUGUAGUCUACA